rnacentral:hammerhead_ribozyme from 1 species
GUACUACUGAAGAGUCCCAAACUAGGACGAUACAGCUGUACAGUAC